CUCAGAUUGAACGCUGGCGGCAGGCCUAACACAUGCAAGUCGAACGGUAACAGGAAGCAGCUUGCUGCUUCGCUGACGAGUGGCGGACGGGUGAGUAAUGUCUGGGAAACUGCCUGAUAGAGGGGGAUAACUACUGGAAACGGUAGCUAAUACCGCAUAAUGUCGCAAGACCAAAGAGGGGGACCUUCGGGCCUCUUGCCAUCAGAUGUGCCCAGAUGGGAUUAGCUAGUAGGUGGGGUAACGGCUCACCUAGGCGACGAUCCCUAGCCGGUCUGAGAGGAUGACCAGCCACACUGGAACUGAGACACGGUCCAGACUCCUACGGGAGGCAGCAGUGGGGAAUAUUGCACAAUGGGCGCAAGCCUGAUGCAGCCAUGCCGCGUGUAUGAAGAAGGCCUUCGGGUUGUAAAGUACUUUCAGCGGGGAGGAAGGCGAUGCGGUUAAUAACCGCGUCGAUUGACGUUACCCGCAGAAGAAGCACCGGCUAACUCCGUGCCAGCAGCCGCGGUAAUACGGAGGGUGCAAGCGUUAAUCGGAAUUACUGGGCGUAAAGCGCACGCAGGCGGUCUGUCAAGUCGGAUGUGAAAUCCCCGGGCUCAACCUGGGAACUGCAUCCGAAACUGGCAGGCUUGAGUCUCGUAGAGGGGGGUAGAAUUCCAGGUGUAGCGGUGAAAUGCGUAGAGAUCUGGAGGAAUACCGGUGGCGAAGGCGGCCCCCUGGA
rnacentral:rRNA from 1 species